rnacentral:rRNA from 1 species
CCUACGGGAGGCAGCAGUGGGGAAUAUUGCACAAUGGGGGAAACCCUGAUGCAGCGACGCCGCGUGAGUGAAGAAGUAUCUCGGUACGUAAAGCUCUAUCAGCAGGGAAGAUAAUGACGGUACCUGACAACAAGGCCCCGCUAACUACGGGCCAACAGCCGCGGUAAUACGGAGGGGGCAAGCGUUACCCGGAUUUACUGGGUGUAAAGGGAACGUAGACGGCAGGACCAGUCCGGGGUGAAAUCCCGGGGCUUAACCCCGGAACUGCAUUGGAAACUGUUCGGCUGGAGUGCAGGAGGGGUAAGCGGAAUUCCUAGUGUAGCGGUGAAAUGCGUAGAUAUUAGGAGGAACACCGGUGGCGAAGGCGGCUUACUGGACUGUAACUGACGUUGAGGCUCGAAAGCGUGGGGAGCAAACAGGAUUAGAUACCCCAGUAGUC